GACGAACGCUGGCGGCGUGCCUAAUACAUGCAAGUAGAACGCACAGUUUAUACCGUAGCUUGCUACACCAUAAACUGUGAGGUGCGAACGGGUGAGUUACGCGUAGGUAACCUGUCUGGUAGCGGGGGAUAACUAUUGGAAACGAUAGCUAAUACCGCAUAAUAUUGAUUAUUGCAUGAUAAUUGUUGCAAAGAUGCUAUUGCAUCACUACCAGAUGGACCUGCGUUGUAUUAGCUAGUAGGUGAGGUAACGGCUCACCUAGGAGACGAUACAUAGCCGACAUGAGAGGGUGAUCGGCCACACUGGGACUGAGACACGACCCAGAAUCCUACGGGAGGCAGCAGGAGGGAAUCUUCGGCAAUGGACGAAAGGCUGACCGAGCAACGCCGGGUGAGUGAAGAAGGUUGUCGGAUCGUAAAGGUCUGUUGUAAGAGAAGAACGGGUGUGAGAGUGGAAAGUUCACACUGUGACGGUAUCUGACCAGAAAGGGACGGCUAACUACGUG
rnacentral:rRNA from 1 species